rnacentral:rRNA from 1 species
UACAGAGGGGGCAAGCGUUGUUCGGAAUUACUGGGCGUAAAGGGCGCGUAGGCGGCCUGUUAAGUCGAACGUGAAAUCCCCGGGCUCAACCCGGGAACUGCGUCCGAUACUGGCAGGCUUGAAUCCGGGAGAGGGAUGCGGAAUUCCAGGUGUAGCGGUGAAAUGCGUAGAUAUCUGGAGGAACACCGGUGGCGAAGGCGGC